rnacentral:tRNA from 1 species
CGGUGAAUAGCGCAGCUUGGUAGCGCAUCUGGUUUGGGAUCAGAGGGUCGGGGGUUCGAAUCCCUCUUCACCGACCA